AUGAUUGCGGUAAGAACACGGAGCGCGUCUCCAGUUGGCAUGGAGCUUUUCUUCUUGUCGCUAAGAUACCAAUUCGUGCGGACUCUCCUAAAUCCCUCAUCCUUCCCUCAUCUCAGGGAUCUGCCAGCACUUUCCUUCCGGACCUCAGCAUCUCAGCCGGGCACCACAGUAGUCCCGCAGCUGUUUUCAUGGACUUCGCUUCUCCCACUCUCAACCUGUCCUCUACAGAAUCAUCAGAAAGCCCUUUCUGAAACCACCUGGGACACAUCACUCCAUCCUUAAAGCACCCCAAGCGUUUCCAGACCCUGAAGAAAACCUCUCUUCGGCUUUUCUGAUACCUUAGGACACAUGUUGCUAACGGAUGCCCAAAAUAAAUGGAGAUGAAGCACAGAUGUUCCCA
rnacentral:lncRNA from 1 species